rnacentral:lncRNA from 1 species
UUGCAUGCCUAGACUUGUUGUAGAAUUGUUCUAGUAACUUGUCUAGAAUAGUUUUUAUUUUGAAUAGUUUAAUUUAAAUUCUAUUUUUUUAGAUAUUACAUGUGAUGUAUCAGAUCUGAAAGCAUGUUAAUUAGAUUGAUUUUUGAUACAUGAGAUGUAUGCAAAUCAUGUAUUAGUUAGAUCUUAAAUUGUAUAUGUGAUAUGUUAAUUUAGAUCUAACUAGUUUUGUAGUUAAAUUUAUAUUUUUGAUUAAGGUAUUCCUCAUGGCCGUCC